GUUGAAGAACGCAGCGAAAUGCGAUAAGUAGUGUGAAUUGCAGAAUUCAGUGAAUCAUCGAAUCUUUGAACGCACAUUGCGCCCCUUGGUAUCCCGAGGGGCAUGCCUGUUCGAGCGUCAUUUCACCACUCAAGCCUGGCUUGGUGUUGGGCGACGUCCCCUUUGGGGACGCGCCUCGAAACGCUCGGCGGCGUGGCACCGGCUUUAAGCGUAGCAGAAUCUUUCGCUUUGGAAGUCGGGGCCCCGUCUGCCGGAAGACCUACUCGCAAGGUUGACCUCGGAUCAGGCAGGGAUACCCGCUGAACUUAAGCAUAUCAAUAAGCGGAGGA
rnacentral:misc_RNA from 1 species